rnacentral:ncRNA from 1 species
UAUUCUCAGGGCGGGGCGGAAUUCCCCACCGGUGGUAGGUGUCGCCUGCACUAGCGGGCCUUUCGGUCAGUAAAGGCAGAGACACGAGCCCACGAGCGCCUGCAGCACCACGCGGCUUCAGGGUCAGCAGAUCUGGUCAGAUGCCAGAGCCGACGGUCAUAGUCCGGAUGAAAGAGGAU